rfam:Microdochium bolleyi strain J235TASD1 unplaced genomic scaffold Micbo1qcscaffold_5, whole genome shotgun sequence.
GGUGCUAUCGUCUAGUGGUUAGGACAUCACGUUGUGGCCGUACGCAAGUACAGUUAACACUAACUUUCACGCAAGUCAAAUUGCCGUGAAAACGCCGGUUCGAUUCCGGCUAGCGCCA